rnacentral:rRNA from 1 species
CAGCAGCCACGGUAAUACGUAGGGUGCGAGCGUUAAUCGGAAUUACUGGGCGUAAAGCGUGCGCAGGCGGUUCGUUAAGACAGAUGUGAAAUCCCCGGGCUUAACCUGGGAACUGCAUUUGUGACUGGCGAGCUAGAGUAUGGCAGAGGGGGGUAGAAUUCCACGUGUAGCAGUGAAAUGCGUAGAGAUGUGGAGGAAUACCGAUGGCGGAGGCAGCCCCCUGGGCCAAUACUGACGCUCAUGCACGAAAGCGUGGGGAGCAAACAGGAUUAGAUACCCCCGUAGUCCCUGUCUCUUAUAC